UACGGAGGGUGCAAGCGUUAUCCGGAUUCACUGGGUUUAAAGGGAGCGUAGGAGGGCAGGUAAGUCAGUGGUGAAAUCUUCGAGCUUAACUCGGAAACUGCCGUUGAUACUAUCUGUCUUGAAUACCGUGGAGAUGAGCGGAAUAUGUCAUGUAGCGGUGAAAUGCUUAGAUAUGACAUAGAACACCUAUUGCGAAGGCAGCUUACUACGCAUAUAUUGACGCUGAGGCACGAAAGCGUGGGGAUCAAACAGG
rnacentral:rRNA from 1 species